UCUCCGUUGGUGAACCAGCGGAGGGAUCAUUACCGAGUUUACAACUCCCAAACCCCUGUGAACUUAUACCUUUACUGUUGCGUCGGCGGGUCAUUGCCCCGGGGAAACAGGCGGCCGUCAGGUCCCUGCCCACCCGGAAACAGGCGCCCGCCGGGGGACUCAAACUCUUCUGUAUUUUUUUGUUUACUGUAUACUGUCUGAGUAAAAAUUCAUAAUGAAUCAAAACUUUCAACAACGGAUCUCUUGGUUCUG
rnacentral:misc_RNA from 1 species